rnacentral:rRNA from 1 species
UACGGAGGAGGCAAGCGUUAUCCGGAAUUAUUGGGCGUAAAGCGUCCGCAGGUGGCACUUCAAGUCUGUCGUCAAAGACUGGGGCUUAACCCUGGAAAGGCGGUGGAAACUGAGGCGCUAGAGUGCGGUAGGGGUAGAGGGAAUUCCCGGUGUAGCGGUGAAAUGCGUAGAGAUCGGGAAGAACGCCAAGGGCGAAGGCACUCUGCUAGGCCUGAUUUCGCGACUGACACUCAGGGACGAGAGCCAGGGGAGCGAAUGGG